GACUUGAUUACGGGAGAGGAAAGCGGAAUUCCUGGUGUAGAGGUGAAAUUCGUAGAUAUCAGGAGGAACACCGAUGGCGAAGGCACCUUUCUGGACCAAUACUGACGCUGAGGCGCGAAGGCGUGGGGAGCAAACGGGAUUAGAUACCCCGGUAGUCCACGCAGUAAACGAUGUACACUCGGUGUAGCGGGUAUUAAAACCUGCUGUGCCCAAGCUAACGUGUUAAGUGUACCGCCUGGGAAGUACGGUCGCAAGACUAAAACUCAAAGGAAUUGACGG
rnacentral:rRNA from 1 species